AUUGAACGCUGGCGGCAGGCCUAACACAUGCAAGUCGAGCGAGCGGCGGACGGGUGAGUAAUGUAUGGGGACUGCCCGAUAGAGGGGGAUAACUACUGGAAACGGUGGUUAAUACCGCAUACUAUCGGAUAACCCAUAUGGGAUUAGCUAGUAGGUGGGGUAAAGGCUCACCUAGGCGACGAUCUCUAGCUGGUCUGAGAGGAUGAUCAGCCACACUGGGACUGAGACACGGCCCAGACUCCGACGGAGGCAGCAGGAGGGAAUAGUGCACAAUGGGCGCAAGCCUGAUGCAGCAAGGCCGCGUGUAUGAAGAAGGCCUUAGGGUUGUAAAGUACUUUUAGCGGGGAAGCGUUACCCGAAGAAGAAGCACCGGCUAACUCCGUGCCAGCAGCCGCGGUAAUGC
rnacentral:rRNA from 1 species